rnacentral:lncRNA from 1 species
UGGAGUGAUUAUAACAUUUAUAGUUUUGUAUUUUAAUUUAUAAAUAAAAGAAAUAAAAUUAUCUUUUAUUUUCAAAUUUUGUCUAAAUAGGUGUGUUGUGUAUUAUGUAUUUCCCAUUGUUGGUAUUUUCCAAAGGAAGCGCAUCAGUUAAAAAUGGUGGCAAUUGAAAGACUACCUUGGGCAGCUGAAACUGUAGCUAUGCUGCUGUGUAAUAAUUAUUAAAUCCAUGAACAGUAAUAAUAUAAUGACAACAUCAUAGCUUAACUAUAACAAUCAGCUCUGUCAGAACCAAUGAUUCUCUUCAUUUGUAUAUGAUCCAGUAAUGGAUGAAGUUGUUAAAAAAACUGCCAAGGACAUAUGAGUCUAUAUAUAAAAGAAAAAAUACUAUUUUCUCAAGUCUAAGGAAUAAGAAGGACCCAGUGAGCAUCAUGAAGAGGUCAAGGGUAUACUUAAUUCCAUUACAUAAUAACUGUGUACAAACAUCUGAGGAAUAUGUGGGUUGGAACAAGAGAUGUCUGUGCAUUAGGACUGAAGAGCAUAAAAUGCCAUAAAAAUGGGUAAACAAAAUACUGUACUAGCUAUUAAGGUAUAUGAAGAUGACAUCACUAUAUUUUGAGACAGUGCAAAUAUAAUAAGGCCCAUCACAAACAAUGUAAGCGGAAUACUGCUGAAGCAAUAGAAAUAAAUAGAAAAAAGAAGAAUGAAAGCAAAUGUAAUUAAUGGUAAUCAUCUGGAAAAUCUCCCAAUGUCAUGGCACUGGUGUAUCAAAGUUAACAAAGCUGCUGCUGUGUUACAAUGUUCAGAAGAUCAUAUAUGAAUAACAAAAUUUUUUAAUUUCUGCCAC